UCUAGGUGAUGCGGGUAAGGCGUAGUCAGGCGCAGGACACAGAGAUGAGUAAUAACCGUAACUUUACUCAAAAACAAUAURCCAUGAAUAAUCCAGGUCACAAAACGAGACAACUUGACAAGAACAAACACGCACAAAACCAAGGGGGAAACCAGAGGGUUAAAUAGGGAACAAUGGUUAUGGAAUGUAAACCAGGUGUGUACAAUGAAGACAAAACAAAUCAAAAAUGAAACGUGGAUCYGUGGUGACUAGAAAACCUGUGACGCCGAACGCCGCCCGAACAAGGAGAGGGACCAACUUCGGCGGAAAUCGUGACACCCUGACAGGUGGGGCUUCCAGAAGCUUUAAAUUGAGGGCCAGGUUGUCAGGAUGGGUAAUGUACUAUAUAAGUA